UAAUCCGACCUAGGCUCAUCUCGGAGUGUGAGGCCUUACGGUCCCCCACUUUGGUCUUUCGACAUCAUGCGGUAUUAAUCAGGGUUUCCCCGGGCUAUCCCCCGCUCUAAGGUAGAUUCCUAUGCAUUACUCACCCGUCCGCCGCUGAAUUCAGGAGCAAGCUCCUGUCAUCCGCUCGACUUGCAUGUGUUAGGCCUGCCGCCAGCGUUCAAUCUGAGCCAGGAUCAAACUCU
rnacentral:rRNA from 1 species